GACGAACGCUGGCGGCGUGCCUAAUACAUGCAAGUCGAGCGAAGUUUUUCUGGUGCUUGCACCGGAAAAACUUAGCGGCGAACGGGUGAGUAACACGUAAAGAACCUGCCUCAUAGACUGGGACAACUAUUGGAAACGAUAGCUAAUACCGGAUAACAGCAUUAACUGCAUGGUUGAUGUUUAAAAGUUGGUUUUGCUAACACUAUGAGAUGGCUUUGCGGUGCAUUAGCUAGUUGGUGGGGUAAAGGCCUACCAAGGCGACGAUGCAUAGCCGACCUGAGAGGGUGAUCGGCCACACUGGGACUGAGACACGGCCCAGACUCCUACGGGAGGCAGCGGUAGGGAAUCUUCCGCAAUGGGCGAAAGCCUGACGGAGCAACGCCGCGUGAGUGAAGAAGGAUUUCGGUUCGUAAAGCUCUGUUGUUAGGGAAGAAUGAUUGUGUAGUAACUAUACACAGUAGAGACGGUACCUAACCAGAAAGCCACGGCUAACUACGUG
rnacentral:rRNA from 1 species